AUGCUUGUCUCUGUUUCUUCAUUUCCACAUUUUACCUGGUUUUCGUUUCUUUUGCUAUUUUUCUGCAACUAAGCCCUGGAAGCUGGAUAAGAGUCUGACAACUUUGACUAUAGGCACAAAACUGCUCCCAUUCCAGGAAUUAGCUUAGCCAAAGACUGCUCCGAACAAAGAAAAGAGAUUUUGCUUCUUGGGCUGCAGGAUUGUGCCCAGGUCAUUAGCCAUGUUCUUGGUGAUGCUGAUCUUAGAGUUUUGGCAUGGAUGUUCUUGACUAGAAUAAUUUGUCUUAUAUGACUUCUCAUGAAAUGUUCAUGUCAAGAUGGAUUAGUAUUCCUGUAGUUGAAAUUUUUUUAUGAGGUCUUACAUUGCUUGA